CCAAGGCGCAUACCAUUCACAGCUAAUAAGAGUAGUGACAAGAAAUAACAAUACAAGGCAGUUAAAAUAGCUUUGUAAUUGGAAUAGGAUAGAAAUUUAAACACUUUUUAAAGUAUCAAUUGGAGGGCAAGUCUGGUGCCAGCAGCCGCGGUAAUUCCAGCUCCAAUAGCGUAUAUUAAAAUUGUUGCAGUUAAAAAGCUCGUAGUUGAAUUUCUGCUAAAAAUAACCGGUCUGCUUUUAAUAAAGGUGGUAUCUUGGUGUGUUUUUAGCAAUAAUGUCCUUUGAAAUGUUUUUUACUUCAUUGUAAUAAAUUAUAUUUAGGAUUUUUACUUUGAAAAAAUUAGAGUGUUUCUAGCAGGCUAAUGCUUUGAAUACUGCAGCAUGGAAUAAUAAAAUAGGAUUUUGGUUCUACAUUAUUGUUUUAAAAGCUAAAUUAAUGAUUGAUAGGGACAGUUGGGCAAUUUGUAUUA
rnacentral:rRNA from 1 species